UACGUAGGGGGCAAGCGUUGUCCGGAUUUAUUGGGCGUAAAGAGCGUGUAGGCGGCCAGGUAGGUCCGUUGUGAAAACUCGAGGCUCAACCUCGAGACGCCGAUGGAAACCCUCCAGCUAGAGUCCGGAAGAGGAGAGUGGAAUUCCUGGUGUAGCGGUGAAAUGCGCAGAUAUCAGGAGGAACACCGGUGGCGAAGGCGGGGUCUCUGGGGCCGAAUACUGACGCUGGGAGGAAG
rnacentral:rRNA from 1 species